rnacentral:lncRNA from 10 species
UAGGGCUGGUGUUCUAGUCAGUUCUGACUGACUUCAAGCCCAGACUCUAAGGCAAGACACUCAACUGCAUUUAGACAAUGCCAGUUUGGACAAAGGGUGGUCUUGCAUCUCCCUUUUUGUAGCAAUUCUCUCACAGAAGUAUUUUUAUAACUCUGAGAAAUCUUUAUAUACAUUUCUUUAUAUCCUUUAUAUUUUCUCUCCAGGUUAAGCCAGCACUUAACACCACAUGAAAUUGAAGUUCAUGGAAUUCAAAGACGAGGCCCAAGAGGCAGCAGCAAAGGUCAGCAUCUCCACCACCCCAUCAGGUCUUGCCCAUGUUGACCCAGGUGCUGGGACAGGAGGCACACACUGAACUUACUGCUCCCGUUGACUUCUCAUCUGGUUCCAGGUCUCCACUUUCCACCCCUUUUCCUCCACAGACUAAAAGCUAAGUCAUUCUGGGUGUGACGUGUGUCUAGAAAGAGUGUGUCUGGCUUCUUGUUUUUACCACAAAGUGUGCCUGAGAUAUAGGUCUGUGCCGCCAUUUUGGCUCUCAAGCCAGGGAACCUCUUGGUGUUCUCAUUUUGGAAUUUUAUUCUGGAAAGUUCGGAGGACCCAGGGACUCCUUACUGUGAUACCCGAUUCUCUGGCUUUAAUCAAUUAUUCAUUAUUCACUCAGGUACUUAAUGAACAACUCUCAAUAUCUAAUUUUGUUCCAGGCUUUGAAGAGGGUCAGAAGGAUGGAAGACUUGGCCCCUCCUCUCUAGUAGUGUACACCAUGCCUGAGGAGACCACAUAUCAACAUGGAACAGCCCCGGUUAGGGCACAAGGGCGCUGGGGCCUGGACAGUCAUGCCAUGGGAGCUCAGUGGGAGGCUGGACUUAGGCUGAGGU